CGUCCGUAGCCUGUUUGGUAAAUCUGUGGGUAAAUCAACGAGCUUAACUCGUUGAAUUCUGCAGAGACUGCCAGACUAGGGACCGGGAGAGGUAUGAGGUACUCUGGGGGUAGGGGUAAAAUCCUGUCAUCCUCAGAGGACCACCUGUUGCGAAGGCGUCAUACUGGAACGGAUCCGACGGUCAGGGACGAAGCCUAGGGGCACGAACCGGAUUAGAUACCCGGGUAGUCCUAGGUGUAAACGCUGUGGAUUUGGUGUGUGGGGUCCGCAAUGGGCCCCAUGUGCCGGAGUGAAGAUGUUUAAAUCCACUGCCUGGGGAGUACGGUCGCAAGGCUGAAACUCAAAGGAAUGACGGAUCACUA
rnacentral:rRNA from 1 species